UACGGAGGGAGCUAGCGUUGUUCGGAAUUACUGGUCGUAAAGCGCGCGUAGGCGGCUUUGCAAGACAGAUGUGAAAUCCCCGGGCUCAACCUGGGAACUGCAUUUGUGACUGCAUGGCUAGAGUACGGUAGAGGGGGAUGGAAUUCCGCGUGUAGCAGUGAAAUGCGUAGAUAUGCGGAGGAACACCGAUGGCGAAGGCAAUCCCCUGGACCUGUACUGAAGCUCAUGCACGAAAGCGUGGGGAGCAAACAGG
rnacentral:rRNA from 1 species